UUUCCGGUUCUGCCGGCAGCUUCCAAAUGGGAAAACGCUUUUUCUUUUGUUUGAACCUUAAAAUUUGUAAAAACGCAGCGUUUUUUUCCUCUAUUUUUUGUUUUUUGAAUUUCAUUUUUAAACGAAAAACAAAAAAAACAGAUCACAAUUUUUUGUUUUCUCUCAUUUUAUUUUGAAACGGAAAAACGAAUGAGCGAACCAUACACGGAUUCAAAGUAUACACGGACCGCAUCAGUCAUGUUUAUCUUGUCUGAUGUCUGCAGCACUCAGACCAAGUUACCAGUCAAAACUUUAUUGUUAUUGGAUUAUCUGGAACCAAUCAGUAACGAAGCAUUAUUCAAAUGACAAAAUCACAGACUUUAAUUGGUUUUGAGCAAAAACAUGUCAUGUCAACUCCAGCUGGCACUUCAGAGUCUGAAGGGGUCAAACAGCAUGAUCUGUUUAACAAUCUUAAUCUGAGGCAGAAAGAAGGAAACGAAUCCAAAACUUUGAAAAGCUAAAUUAAAAUUUUAAAAAACUAUUGACAUUUUAGGAAAUCAUAGAAUCAUAUUUCACCAACUAGACAAAGUAGUUUUGAUCUACAGGAUAUGAGUUUUUCUCUUUUUCUAACGGCAAACGUGAAUGGGAGAACCUAUUUCUACCAGUUGGUGGCGGUAGUGCACUAGUUCAAUCUGUCAAUGAAAGUUACACGAAGAAGAAGACGCUGACGUAGUAAGAGAAGAAGAAAGAGGAUCGGCGGAGGAUUUCGCAGCUGCAGCCUCAGCAGAAAUGGGCGCCGGUUCGACUCCCGUGACUGAGUCCGAAGAGGAGCUGAAGAAAGCCAAAGGAGCCUCGGUGUCUUUACCGAAACACUCCUACUGGUUUGACUUCUGGGUGUUCGUGGUCUUCGACAUUGCCUUCUUCCUCGUCAUGUACUUCAUAGUGCCCUAACCAGGUUCGUUUCCUGGACUUCGGAGCCUGAAGACAUGGAGCACUGGUCCUGGCCUGCUGUCAGGAAAUCUAACCCAGCUUUGACUGAAUCUAACACCAAGUUACUGAAUGUCUCAUCUCAAGUUUCCAUGGCUCGAACCACACAAGUUCCACACGCAUGACAUUCUGCCUUAAUAUCAGAGAUUUGAACCACAGAACUGCUUCCCACUGUGACCUGCAGCUCAUAGGUCAAGACUGUCUUUGUGCAUGGAGGGAUUCAUGAAGAAGAACAAAAAUCUGAAGUAUUUGUAUUGUUGAAAAGUGUCAAUGGCAUCUUCAGGAUUUGUAAAAUGUAUCAAAUGUAAAAUGACAAAGAUGCUAUCGUGAGUAAAUGUUACUCAGAUCAGAUGUGCUCAGUCUUUUUGAUAUGGAGUCACUGAUUAAAAACAGAAGAAGAAAGAAAACUUUAACUAUAAAGCUUCUAUUUUAAAUGUUUUAAUUUUAUCUCCAGUUUUCUUGUUGACCUCAACAACCAAACACUGGAGCAGUCUCACAUCUGGGAGUGUGUGUUUUUCGUAAGCUGUCUGAUGAAUUGGUGCCGGACCAGUGAAGACACAUGAGAUUUAUGAUUCUGCUUUCAACAACAUAAAGAACAAUGUGUUGCUGUGGAGACAUUGCAGCACACUGAAACCAGUUUGCACAUGGAAAUACACUGCAAAUAAAAUGUUUUGCCUACCUGCUA